UACAGAGGGGGCAAGCGUUGUUCGGAAUUACUGGGCGUAAAGGGCGCGUAGGCGGCCUGCUAAGUCGAACGUGAAAUCCCUGGGCUCAACCCAGGAACUGCGUCCGAUACUGGUUGGCUUGAAUCCGGUAGAGGGAUGUGGAAUUCCAGGUGUAGCGGUGAAAUGCGUAGAUAUCUGGAGGAACACCGGUGGCGAAGGCGACAUCCUGGACCGGUAUUGACGCUGAGGCGCGAAAGCCAGGGGAGCAAACGGG
rnacentral:rRNA from 1 species